AUUGAACGCUGGCGGCAUGCCUUACACAUGCAAGUCGAACGGUAACAGGUCUUCGGAUGCUGACGAGUGGCGAACGGGUGAGUAAUACAUCGGAACGUGCCUAGUAGUGGGGGAUAACUACUCGAAAGAGUGGCUAAUACCUCAUGAGAUCUACGGAUGAAAGCAGGGGAUCGCAAGACCUUGUGCUACUAGAGCGGCCGAUGGCAGAUUAGGUAGUUGGUGGGAUAAAAGCUUACCAAGCCGACGAUCUGUAGCUGGUCUGAGAGGACGAUCAGCCACACUGGGACUUAGACACGGCCCAGACUCCUACGGGAGGCAACAGUGGGGAAUUUUGGACAUUGGGCGAAAGCCUGAUCCAGCAAUGCCGCGUGCAGGAUGAAGGCCUUCGGGUUGUAAACUGCUUUUGUACGGAACGAAAAGCCCCGGGUUAAUACCCUGGGGUCAUGACGGUACCGUAAGAAUAAGCACCGGCUAACUACGUGCCAGCCGCCGCUGUAA
rnacentral:rRNA from 1 species